rnacentral:rRNA from 1 species
UUGCGCAUUCUAGGUGAUUUUGGAAAGGAAACAGGGCUCUGCAUCAACCCGGCCAAAUCCACGGUCUCUCUCAUCCGCUGCGAGAACAUCAACAUCGAGGAGGCGCUGCAGGGUUUCGCGGGCUCUGUCGCCCCCUUCCCCAUUAGAUACCUAGGGCUUCUGGUCACCACGAGCCGUCUCUGCCUCGUCCACCUCCAGUUUAUCAUCAAUAGAAUCAAGGCGAGAUUAGCGGGCUGGAAGGGCAAGCUGCUGCCGAUGGCGGGACGCCGAGCGCUG